CGAGAAAAACCAUUUUUAAUUAGCGAAAUAUUGAUUGAUGCUUUUCGUUUUCGGUUUCUUCUACCGUUAUUUUUAUUUUUAUUUUCUAUUAUUAUUGUUAUCCUAUUCACAAGCAAUUCGAAGAAUAGAGAUUAGAUUACCUUCUGUGUAGGAAGAAAGGAAGACGAGAGGAAGAAGAAGAAGAUUGAUUCUUCUGAUAAAUCCUCUAAAUUAAUAAACAGAAAAAGAAAAACCCAUUAUGGUUUCAGACCCCAAGUCCACUCUUUCGAAGCUCAAACCUGAUGGCGGCUCCAGGUUAAAGCUUGAAUCAUCUGAUCAUAAGAAGAAGAUUGACAGCUCCAUCAAGAACUCAAUUCCCUCUUCCAAGCACAAAUCCGUCUCUCUUGUCACCAAAUCUGAGGUAAAAUCAAAGACAAUUUCGAGUUCUUCAAAGACGACAACAAAGACUACAACAACUACUACUGCUACUGCUAAAGUGAGAGAAAAGAAAAUCUUUAAUUUGCCUGGUCAGAAAUAUGAUCCACCUGAAGAGAGAGAGCCGCUUCGGAUCUUCUACGAGUCCUUGUCGAAACAAAUACCAGCAAGUGAAAUGGCAGAGUUUUGGUGCGUGAGGGGUUAAGGAUGUUUGAGGAAGUUUCUCUACGAAGCUCUUGGAUUCAAGCCCUCCAAGUGAAGAACUUAUUUAAUGAAAACCUUUGAGCACUCUAUGAGCUAGCAUUUGGGCGGGUGAAGUCCCUCCAUGGAGUAAUCGGGAAGGAACGAAUUCCACAGGUAUCACAAUAAUUAAUGAAUAUAUUGGGGAUUGGCUGUAAUGAACUCAAGGAACCAUGAUUAAGUGGAAGAGUAUCUUUUUUCCACCAGCAGGAAGAUUGCAGUUCGAAGGCAAAUUAUCUUGUUUUAGGACCGUUAUGUUACAUAUCAUGGAGUGAGUCAUUUGUUUAAUGAAAAUUCUUUCACUGGCAGAGGGUCUGGUGUGAUUUGUUAGCUUUUCGGAACGAUGCACCAAAAAUUGGAGUCUCCUGAUGGAUUACUGGUUGAUAUUAAGGAAUAAGGAGCUUUAACAUUAAAAUCGAGGUUGUACUAAGGAGGGUUAAGAACAAGAUUUUUCUUUUUGAAUUUGAAAUCACAGCUACCCACUCACUUGAAGAAGAUUUCCGAAUUUAUAAUAUAUAAGACAGGACAUAAGACCUUCGGUAGCAAGAGGUAAUUAGUUCUAUAAUAGUUAACAUCAGAGCAAAGUUCUGUUGAUUCAUGAAAUAUAAACAUGAAGGUCUGCAUUAGUGGAAUUCAAUCAAUGGCUUUACGUCUCUAAGACAGAAUUAGGGCGGUCAAAAUUCUAGUAAAAUAAAAUAAAAGGCAGUAACAAUCGUUUUCCAUUUCUAUGGAGAAAACUACAAUCAUCAAGUUCUUUUGUAAUAUUCACAGGGCACCAAAUAGAUAUUCAACCACUUCAAGUUGAAGCAAGUUUCCCGAAUUCCAGAAGAAUCUUGUAGGUUGAUAUAGCAAGACUUAACUAGAUAGAGAUCAAACAUGGAGUUUUCUUGUGCCUGCUGUUAUAAUCUCCCAAAAAGUUAAAGCGAUCACAAUGUACACUAAAUGUUAAAGGCUCGGCUGCAGAUGGAGCAUGGAUGAAGCAGGAAUACGGAUACUUAAAGGAUCAAGUCUUCAGAUCUGUUAAUAUGAACUGCUGAUGCACUUUUCCAUAGAUCGUGCCUUCCGGUGGUACUCAAACGUCCCCUGAUGAAAAAUAUCCAAUAUUUCUUGUAUUGUGAAAACUACCUUGACCUGAGGUCCUGAUUGUGCUUUUGAAAGCAUGCCAUCAUGUUUAUUGAUAUAUUCAUUGUUAACAUGAGAUUGCUAGCCCCUUGUUAUCUCAGCUCAAAUAUUCAAAUCAUCCCGUUGUCUUUUUCGCUCGA